AGCUCCAAUAGCGUAUAUUUAAGUUGUUGCAGUUAAAAAGCUCGUAGUUGGAUUUUGGGUCGGGGGCACCGGUCCGCCGUUCCGGUGUGCACUGGUGGCCCCUUCCUUUCUGCCGGGGACGUGCGUCGCACUUAAUUGGGUGGCGUUCGGAGUCGGCGUUGUUACUUUGAAAAAAUUAGAGUGUUCAAAGCAAGCCAUCGCUCUGAAUACAUUAGCAUGGAAUAACAUGAUAGGACUCCGGUCUUAUUUUGUUGGUUUCCGAGACUGGAGUAAUGAUUAAGAGGGACAGUCGGGGGCAUCCGUAUUUCAUUGUCAGAGGUGAAAUUCUUGGAUUUAUGAAAGACGAACUUCUGCGAAAGCAUUUGCCAAGGAUGUUUUCAUUA
rnacentral:rRNA from 1 species